CAGAACCAUCUUCUGUAUCAUCGCUCUCUUCAGUGUCCUCAGUGCUCACCACAAAUAGAUUACUUUUUCCUUCAACUGGCCCUGGUGGAUUCAAGCAGCUGGUGGCAGUGGCACCUUGUGAUUUAGAGGACACUGUUGAAGAAUCUUGGAAAACCCCUUUCCUUUUCAAGUACACAACCUAAAAAAGCACAAGAAUCCCAUCAGAGAAUGUUUGAGACACAUUGAACCAGAAUUAAAUGCAACAAUGCCACACCUAGAAAGGGCAUAAGAAGACAAGUAAAUGCAUCUACAGAAGAAAAUAAGCAUACCGCAUCCAACUAAGCAUGCUUGCAUCUCUUCAUAGUUGCUUGCAAGCAUGUUCUUAUGUAUAUACAAGCCUAAAAAAUCCCAAUAUGCACAUAAUGAUUGGCAUAUAAGAUGAGCUAAGUAGAUUUAAAGGUCAGAGACUUGAGGCAUUUUGCUUCUAUCAUGGAACAAAGUUUCAAUCUAGUGGAGAAGGGAUGAAAGCCAAGAAAAAAGCAUAAAGGCAUUUUGCUCCUUCCCAUGGGGCAAGGUUUGAUUCCAGGGGAGUCCAAUUGCAGUUGCAUACUUUCAUCACAGCUACAGCUACAAUCCUCGUAACAGUGCAUGUCACAGCAUUAAGCCCAUUGUAGAUUUAAUGUAAGUACUUAACAGUUGUAAUAGUGAGACAAAUGUAAUCAUUCAGAAAAGAUUGACAGAUUUAACUGCAGU
rnacentral:misc_RNA from 1 species